rfam:Schistosoma rodhaini strain Burundi genome assembly, scaffold: SROB_scaffold0016660
UGCUGAGGAGUCCCAUAAUAGGACGAAACGGCCGUCCAGUGC